UUGGUGGUGUGGGUGGUAUUGUAGGAGGUGGUAGUGGACUUCUUGGUCCUAUCGGUGGUAUCAGAGGUCCAAUUGGUGGUGUUGUUUCAAAUUCUGUCGGUGUCAUCGGAAAAAGGAAAAAUAUUGUCAGUGGAUAUGGACCAAUUGGUAAAGGAAGAUAUUAAGUAUUUGAAAUGUAAAAAGAACACGAAGAAAAUCUGUAAUGAAAUGCUUCAAAUUAAUUAAUUUGUUUUAAAAAUAUAAUUGCAAACCGAC